rnacentral:rRNA from 1 species
GACGAACGCUGGCGGCGUGCUUAACACAUGCAAGUCGAACGGAAAGGCCCUUCGGGGUACUCGAGUGGCGAACGGGUGAGUAACACGUGGGUGAUCUGCCCUGCACUUUGGGAUAAGCCUGGGAAACUGGGUCUAAUACCGAAUAGGACCACGCGCUUCAUGGCGUGUGGUGGCAAGCUUUUGCGGUGUGGGAUGGGCCCGCGGCCUAUCAGCUUGUUGGUGGGGUAAUGGCCUACCAAGGCGACGACGGGUAGCCGGCCUGAGAGUGUGACCGGCCACACUGGGACUGAGAGACGGCCCAGACUCCUACGGGAGGCAGUAGGGGGGAAUAUUGCACAAUGGGGGCAAGCCUGAUGCAGCGACGCCGCGUGAGGGAUGACGGCCUUCGGGUUGUAAACCUCUUUCAAUAGGGACGAAGCGCAAGUGACGGUACCUAUAGAAGAAGCACCGGCCAACUACGUG